CCUACGGGAGGCAGCAGUGAGGAAUAUUGGUCAAUGGACGAGAGUCUGAACCAGCCAAGUAGCGUGAAGGAUGACUGCCCUAUGGGUUGUAAACUUCUUUUAUAUGGGAAUAAAAUGUUCCACGUGUGGGAUUUUGUAUGUACCAUAUGAAUAAGGAUCGGCUAACUCCGUGCCAGCAGCCGCGGUAAUACGGAGGAUCCGAGCGUUAUCCGGAUUUAUUGGGUUUAAAGGGAGCGUAGGUGGAUUGUUAAGUCAGUUGUGAAAGUUUGCGGCUCAACCGUAAAAUGGCAGUUGAAACUGGCAGUCUUGAGUACAGUAGAGGUGAGCGGAAUUCGUGGUGUAGCGGUGAAAUGCGUAGAUAUCACGAAGAACUCCGAUUGCGAAGGCAGUUCACUGGACUGCAACUGACACUGAGGCUCGAAAGUGUGGGUAUCAAACAGGAUUAGAUACCCCAGUAGUC
rnacentral:rRNA from 1 species